GACGAACGCUGGCGGCGUGCUUAACACAUGCAAGUCGAGCGGAGUUAUUUGGAUUGAGAGCUUCGGCAGGAUUUUCAAAUAACUUAGCGGCGGACGGGUGAGUAACGUGUGGGCAACCUGCCCUGUACUGUGGGAUAAUCACGGGAAACUGUGACUAAUACCGCAUAAUAUCACUACGAGGCAUCUCGAAGUCGAAGAAAGGAUUUAUUCGGUACAGGAUAGGCCCGCAUCUGAUUAGCUAGUUGGUGAGGUAACGGCUCACCAAGGCGACGAUCCGUAGCUGGUUUGAGAGGACGACCAGCCACACUGGGACUGAGACACGGCCCAG
rnacentral:rRNA from 1 species